GAGUUUGAUCAUGGCUCAGAUUGAACGCUGGCGGCAGGCCUAACACAUGCAAGUCGAGCGGAUGACGGGAGCUUGCUCCUUGAUUCAGCGGCGGACGGGUGAGUAAUGCCUAGGAAUCUGCCUGGUAGUGGGGGACAACGUUCCGAAAGGAACGCUAAUACCGCAUACGUCCUACGGGAGAAAGCAGGGGACCUUCGGGCCUUGCGCUAUCAGAUGAGCCUAGGUCGGAUUAGCUAGUUGGUGGGGUAAUGGCUCACCAAGGCGACGAUCCGUAACUGGUCUGAGAGGAUGAUCAGUCACACUGGAACUGAGACACGGUCCAGACUCCUACGGGAGCGGCAGUGGGGAAUAUUGGACAAUGGGCGAAAGCCUGAUCCAGCCAUGCCGCGUGUGUGAAGAAGGUCUUACGGAUUGUAAAGCACUUUAAGUGGGAGGAAGGCAGUAAGUUAAUACC
rnacentral:rRNA from 1 species